GUGCCACGGCCGCCUGAGCUAAGACGUUUACACACUGAAAAGGCGCAGAUUACUGCGCCUUUUUU
rnacentral:sRNA from 1 species